GUUGGAUAGCGUAGUGGUUAGCGCUUUUGGGUCGCAUUCACAAGGUCGCCGGUUCGAAUCUAGUGGAUGACA